ensembl:lncRNA
CUUCUCCCCACACUACCAUAUAAUCUAGGAUUUAGUUUGGACAGAUUUACUUAGUUCUAUUACGGGUAUGAGUAUUCCACGAAAUUCAUCUAUCUUCUCUGAAUGAGCCCCACACUCCUGCAAUGCUUCUUUACUUUCACUAAGGAACUUUACUCUCCUGUAGAGGACGACAACAUGCCAACUUCUGCCCUGAAGAAAUGCAUUCACCAGUUUGAUGUUUCUGUUUGUUUUCAAUGCUUGCUCAAUAUGUAAAGCACAGUCUGUCUGCAUUCCUGGCAGUGGAAGCAAGCUCCUAGCUCUGUCUUCCAAGGAACAAAAGCCAUGCUGGCUUACAGCAAGCAACUCAAUUUCAUAAGGCCUCCUGGGAAGAAUGUACAGAAGCAUGGCUCAGUGUCUGGAAGCCACAUCCUUGAAUAAAAAGAGGAGGAGGAAAAGGGCACGAAGGAAGAGGCACACAAGGUCUCCAUACCACACAUGAGAAGUUUUACACACAAUCAG